AGAUUGAACGCUGGCGGCAUGCUUUACACAUGCAAGUCGAACGGUAACAGGCCGCAAGGUGCUGACGAGUGGCGAACGGGUGAGUAAUGCAUCGGAACGUGCCCAGUCGUGGGGGAUAACGCAGCGAAAGCUGUGCUAAUACCGCAUACGAUCUAUGGAUGAAAGCGGGGGACCAAAGGCCUCGCGCGAUUGGAGCGGCCGAUGUCAGAUUAGCUAGUUGGUGGGUAAAGCCACAAGGCGACGAUCUGUAGCUAGGUCUGGAGAGGACGACCAGCCACACGUGGAACUGGAGACACGGUCCAAGACUCCGUACGGGAGGCAGCAGGUGGGGAAUUUUUGGAACAAGUGGGGCCGAGAA
rnacentral:rRNA from 1 species